UACAGAGGGGGCAAGCGUUGUUCGGAUUUACUGGGCGUAAAGGGCGCGUAGGCGGCCACCGCAAGUCGACUGUGAAAUCUCCGGGCUUAACCCGGAAAGGUCAGCCGAUACUGCGGGGCUAGAGUGCAGAAGGGGCAACUGGAAUUCUCGGUGUAGCGGUGAAAUGCGUAGAUAUCGAGAGGAACACCUGCGGCGAAGGCGGGUUGCUGGGCUGACACUGACGCUGAGGCGCGAAAGCGUGGGGAGCGAACAGG
rnacentral:rRNA from 1 species